ACCUGGUGUUGAUUUUAUGGUUGAAUUCAAUAUGACUCUUCUCUGAACAUGAAUUUUAAAUUUCACAGUGGAAUUAGCUAAAUGGUUUGUUUUGCACUCUAAUGGAUGGGAUUUAAAUCCAGUUUUUCACAUCAUGCAGGAAACAUUUUUCAAUAUUCUUUUGUCUCUGCUCCAUGCACCAAAACCAAAGACAAAUUCCCAUUGUUGGAAAUGGAUCUUAUAGUAGUAAAGAUGCUCUAAGUUCCUUUCUCAGAGUUUGUCUAGCAGCUGUUCAUGUUUCUGGGGUGUGCACUUGCCCCUGUGUGGAGUCUGGGUGGGAGCUGUGAGAAAGCCCCGUUCGUGGCCAGCCCUUGGUGGCUGAGCUCUCUGAGCUGUCCCUGUCCCCUGCCCAGCGCAGAUGGCAGAGCCGGACUGGCCCGGGCACGGAGCAUCGCUGCUGUGUGUGAGCUCCGUGUCCCCAGCAGCUCUGCCUGUGGCCAAGGACACACACCCACCUGCUGACAAGGGCAACGACUCGUGAAAUCCCGGCCCCGGGCCGCGUGCUGGGUUUUAUUGUUACACACAAACACAGAGCGCAUGGGGCAUUUAUCACUUUCCAAUUUCUGUGACUGAAAUGGGUGUUUGAUUAUGUGAGAGAGGCAGUGAAUGUUUACAGAGAUUUGGGUAAGAGCUGUUUUUCAUUUCGCCUUGCUGAUGCACACAGUGGAUUCGUGAGCCUGGCUAUAUUCUGCUGCAUUUGCCAGUUUUUUUUGUUUCUUUUUUUUUUUUUAAUGUUUACCUAUGUGUUUAAGUACACACAUACACAUGUCUUGUACUGUGUAUCAGAAUAUAUCAGCUGUGUUGGUGUGAAGCUGUCAUUUAAUUUUAAAGGAAGGAUGAAGUUAUUUGAAUGGUGCUGAGCCAUGAUGUCAUAACUUUGUACUGCCUAGACUCUGUAUUUGUACUGGGAUUUUUUCUCCAUGUAGUAGCAGAAUAAUUUUCUGAUUUUUCCCCGGAAUAGCUUUUCUCUCUGUGUUAUCUCUUAUGCUAACAGUGUUAAUAAAGGAAAUUAUGAUUUCUUAGCCUCAUCCAUGAGCCAGAGGGAAAUUUACUAGAGAUGCAUCAAUAUCUGUUUUUAUUAAUGUUAAUACACUCUGUGCAAACUUCUCUGGACAUGUUUACAACUUACUUGUAUCUGAACGUGGAAUCAAGUGUAAAGACUGCAGAGCCCUAAAGCUGUGUGUGCUUUGCCAAGUGGUGCAGAUGAAGGGGAAUGGAUCUAAUGCUGGCCAGCACUUGCCCCAGAGGAUCGGACAUCCCCACUGUUUGGGGCUGGUCUGUUUGUUGACUUUGGAGUGGUGGCAGGAAGCCUCUUGCAGUGCAUUCCAUACUGUGUGGGAGGGCAUCUUUGAGUCCAGUUCCCUCCAAAAGGGACCCUGUUCAUGUGCCCUUGGGCCACUGAUGCAAACCAAAGCAAGGGAAGUUUUGGGGACAGCUGCUACAAAGCACCCUCCUGCUCCCAGUGGGAGUGCUCUGGGAGACACACACUCAAAAGCUGCAGGGACAGUUUGGGUAUGGGAUGGAAAAUCUCCUGGCCAAAGUGGUGUUUGCUGUGCCAGCUCUGCUGAACUGCCUUUGGCAAGGCUCCUUUGCCUCUAGCCUUUGUGUUCUCUCAGAAUGGUCCCCAUGGCUGCUGCCCACCUCUGUCACAUCGUGGGAACAGAGCACUCCUCCGCUGCUCCAGAGGCCACCUGUGUGCACAGGUGCCUUGUCAAGUGAAGAGCUUUGGGAAAGGAGGAGGUUUCAUUCCUUACACUGUAAAAUGACUGCUGAAGGGUAAUCAUAUUAUACUUUUAGCAAUACCUCUAACUCUGUUCAGAAUUAACUGGUGGUUGGAGAACGCUCUUUAUAUUGUUCUUCAGUUUGUAAAGGCAAGUCAGAUUGAUCGUCUGGUUUUUUGUUCCUAUUUGUGUGGUGUAGCAUAUCCAGUAUAAGAACCUGAAUUUCAUUCCACUCUUUAAAGAAGUGCUAGCAUUCAGUAUCAGUAGUACUAGUAGCAGUUGUUAUAAUUAUUAUAUGAAUUUCACAUAGUGAGAAAACAUUUGGUAGGGUAAAAGGGAGAAAGGCUAUUUUGUGUCCCCUGCAUGUCAUGAAAAUGAUUAGUGAAAUGCAACUUUUAAUGCUCUUCUCUGUUGUUCUUGGAUGGAUUCAGGCCCAAAAGCUAUAUUGCUCAUUUUGGAAUUUAUUGCUUCCAGUGCUUAAAGCAAUGGAGAUAUACAGAGAAAAGAAGAAAACAAGGAGGUGCACCAUAAGGAAAAGCUUUCCACACAGAACCCAAUUCUUCUGCAGGUGUACACGUGCGACCUUUUUCGUGUCAUAAUCUAUGCCCGCAGAGCCUCUGAUUCAGAAAUUUUUUUUGGCAGCGUAAUGUACUGCAGGAAAGGUUUCGCUGCCUUGGCUUACUCACUCGAAAUUAGCCCUAGUAAAUACUAACUUGGUGUGAUUUGUACAGUGCUGACAAUGUGUUGCUUGGCUGAGUAACUUGUAAAAAAGACUGCAAUAAUUAGCUCCUACAAGUUCACAUUUUCUCUCAGAUUUGAAUAUAUGGAUUGUCAUUUGCUGCCAGGCUCUGUGUAAGUGUGUCAGUAGUUCCUCACAUUGACUUUUGGGUGCAUUGAACUGCUCAGGAAUCUCUGGUGCCUCCUUCCAUUUGCAUAGCUAUGAUGAGCUAAAUACAGAUGUUCCUACCCAUCCUUUUUUAUAGUGUUACAUAGGAGUGGGGCUGCAGAAUCUCCUCAUGUUUUCCUCUGAGUCACUGUUUCUGUUCUGCGUCAGCCCUGCUUCAUUCUCUAAUGUCAGUCAACUUUGUUUCUUCACCCAAAACCAUUUAAUAGUAUUAGGGAGCAUUUAUUUAUGUUUAGGUCAUCAUACCUUUGGUGUUCCUUUUGAAAGUUUAAUCUAAACAUUGCUGCCCUUUUUGGUCAUUACUUUCUUAGUUCUAUUUGUUGACAGUGAAAAAUGUAUCCUUUUCCUUCUUCAUUUUCAAUGGAAACAGGAAGCCCAAGCAGAGAAUGUCUCUUCUUUUUCUCUCCCCCCCUCAGAAUUCCAAUGUAUUUAUCUAUUUUCCAUCUUCUUUCUCCAUGCUAUUUUGCAGACAUACUGUUACUGAGGUGAAUGAGAGGAGUCAUGGACAAUGACUGUAUUAUGGCUUAUGUGUUAAUGUGUUUUUCUUUCUUUACAUUUUAAUUUUAAUGUUGCAUUUCUUUUUUGUUUGAAAAUAAUAUAUUUUAAAAAUGAAAAAAAAAAACCUUACCCUGGAAAUGAGAUGAUUUGGCUGAGAAGGCACAAACAAUGGUGGUUGGUGCACCUGAGAAUUUUGGUUUUCAGUCCUUCACUUACACAAGCUGGUACUGAGAGACCUUUAAUUUAUCUUGCCAGCAUAGAGAAAUAGCCACAAGAACUGCUCUGUAAUAUCCUUUUAAACAGUGUUUUUCAUCCACCUAUAAUGAAAGGUGUCUGUUUUAUGUUGCUGCCCAUUCAUCAUUCCUUGGACACCUGCUGCCUCCGUCAGUUAUUUCUUAAAUCUGAGUUAACCUUCUCAUGUAAUCCUGCUCUCCUUUCUUCCUUGCUCAAACCCAUUAUUCCAUAAACCAAGCAGUCCAACAUGAGUCCAGUAACCUGGGAGCAUACAGUGUUAACAUCUAUCACUUGUGCGUGCUGUUCCUUGGAGCAGUGGGUUUUCACCACGUCUUUAUGAACAGAGGAGCAAAGAACCCAACUCAUCUCAACUAUUCAUUGUGUGCUCAGGGGUUUGCUUUAUGUUUUCCCUCCCUGUCUUAGAACUCCACAUUGUUCUCUAAUUCAUUCUGUAGUCAAGAAUGGAACAAUUAGCCACAAGCUCUCAAGCUCUGGCAGAUGAUAAUUCAAAAAAAAAAAUUAACUUUGGCUGAUAAUGCCUCUCUUUGAAUUAUGAGCUGGCUGUAAGCCAGGGAAUACUCCUAUUGUCUCCUGUACAAACAGCCCAUCCUUCCUGACUCAAGUGCACCAGAAGUAGUAACAUUUUUCAUCUUAGAGAAUUUUAACCAUUGCAUUCUUGAGCUUUUCAACUCCUUCGUGCAGUGUUUGUGAAUCUCUCUUAGCCAGCUACCAUGUAAUCCUCAGGGAAAAAACAAUUCCUAAUUCCUUUGCAUUUCAAUGUAAUUUGGCAGUUGAAGGGGGAGGUGGUAAAUUAAGUUUAAAGCAUUUAAGUAAUCAGCUAUAUUACAAAAUCUUAUUGAUAUAAUGACAAAGGUUUUAAUUAAAAAUGUCAGCCACAAAAAAGUUCCUGUGUAAGCCUCUGCCAGUGAUUGCAAAUCAGUUUCCAUCUGUGCUUUAGUAUUGACGCAUAGCCAAGUUCCUGUGAAGGGAAUAUUUCUGUUACUUUUACUGUUAGUACUCUUUCUUGUAAUGUUUUCCUAGGCCCCAGUCCUGUACCUUCCCCUGCUCCCCAGCUAGCAGGCUGAGUAACACUUGGGGUAGUUUUGGCAGCAGAGGAUUAGAGAUUCCAAAAGCUCUGGAAUGACAUUAGCAAUUAGCUGCUGCAAAUGUAUUUAUUUCUGGGGAAAGGAAUCUCGGCUUUGCUUCCUAAACACAGUCUGGUUUGCUUACUAAUAAGUAUUAUGAACCACUCCUCUGAGCUUGGAUUUGUCAGCUCAGAUCUCUGGAAGUCUUUCUGGAUGACAGUGCAAAUCCGUAGUUCUGCUUGGAAACAAGUGUCAUUUCCACAGGGAGCCUAGACAGAAUGUUUUUUUCCCCUGAAAAACACUGUGAUGAAACCCAUGCUACAUAAAACCUGGUUUUGAUUUGAGGAGGAGGAUUAGUGUGUCUGCUUCUCAUAAUUACUUAUCUGUACUGGCACACAUAUGGAACUGUUUUUCAUCCAUAAGCAAAAGGAUUUCUAGAAAAGUGCUCCACUCCCAGUAUAGGGGUGAAAAGCAGAAGCAUUACAGAAAAGCAAGAGCCUGGGACUACCUUGUGUGCUUUUCAGCUCUUUGUUGGAUAAUUGCUGAUUCCAAUAUUGUACUUUUCAAAUUCAAUCUUAAAAUAAAAAAAUUAAAACUGCCAUUAUAGGCAAAUGGAAAAAUACUCAAUACAUGGAGUGAAUCUCUGAGGCACUAAUAAUUAAAGGUUGUUGCCAGGGCUUUACACAGUGCUCUGAAAGUUUCAUUGAUAUUUUAUUUCAUUCUUGAUCAGCACGUGGAGUUUGGCCCAUGUCAGGACUGAUUUGGUGGGCUUCCAGUACAGAAGCCAUAGCUUGGUUCAGUACUUAUUGUGAAGAGGUUCGUGUAGGAUCCAAUGAGUGUUUAAAUUUACUUUCUUUCUCAUACUUCAAAUUAACAGUUCCAAGGAUUAAUUUAUAGGACUCAAUGGUGACUACUAGAGAAAAAAAAAAAAAAAAAAAAAAAA
rnacentral:lncRNA from 1 species